CACAGAUUUCAUAUUUAUUUAUGGGUAAAUGGUUACUAAAUUUCCUUUUAAUUCUUUCAGAUUUGGAGGGGGAGUGUGGAGUUUGCGUGUUUGUAAGUAGCAGACCUGGCUGCUGUGGUUAAACACGGAACAGGUCUGGGUGGGACGGGAGGUGGUUGAAGCUGAGUGCAGGACACUGAGUGGAACAGAGAAUCAGCCCAGGGCUCCCAGACUGGCAGGCAGCCCCACCGGGUCAAAAUCUGUGCUGACGGAUCAAUAAAGCCGGGGUGGGGUAGAGGGGACACCUGCAGGGAGUUGGGGGGACAGUGCAGAGAAAGGGAACCCCCCUCCACCGCCUAGUUUAUUUCUCAGGGAAAAACCUCUCCCCUCCUAGAAAUGGAAGCAGAAAUGAAACUGCAGCUGGAGCCGAGGGUGGCAGCAGGGCAGGGAGCCUGGCAUUGAGAGAAAACUCCGUCUAUGAAUGUGGAAUCCAUCGCCCCUCCUUCCACCUCCAAGGUGCAGGGCGGGGAGGGAGAAGCACAGCCCGGAGGGUCCAGACCAGGCGCCCACACAGACUGGCGCCCACCACCCUGGCAAGGCAGGGCCCUGUGCCAUCCUGAUGACCCCGUGCUGGGUACCUGUCCCACAAAGGGAGAAUUGAGUUCAUGGUGUCCUCAGGUAAGAAGCAGAGCUUCUAAAUCAAUUGCAGGGAGAGAGCUGGGGAUUUGAACCAAGAAAAAGGAAAUGGAAUGAUUUUGAAAUUAGCAUCAAUUGAACAGAGUCAGGUACCUAAUAGCGGUGAACAAGCUAUGGAUACAAAUUCAUGAAAUCUGAAACAGCCUCAGACUACAGACCUGCUGGCAGCAGGACCAACAAAAACCCAGACAGAUGAGGAAAAUGAUCUCAAACUGCUCAGACCUGAUUGUUGUCAACUGGAGUGGACGUUUGGGGCCAAUGAACAGUUGCGGUACAGAAAUUUAAUUAAUAAUAUUGAAGACAUGCAGCUGGGAGAAAUAAAGGACACA